GUACAAGUGGCCGAGUGGUCUAAGGCGCUACGUUUAGGUCAUUGACUUCAAAUCACCGUAGUGGGAAACCGCGCAGGUUCGAAUCCUGCCUUGUACA